AUGCGACAGAUAAAGCAGGAGUCCAAUCAAGACAACUUGCAACUUUGGUGUUGUCACAUUGGAGUCCGUGCUGAGCAGCAAUGGGAGACUGUCGUUGAUGCCCGACCCAUGAUGCCGACGAAGGAACGAGAGUCGAUGAGGAGUAGACGCCAUGGGUUUGUGAACUGGCCAAGCCACCGUUGUCCGUUUGGUAAUGUGACUUGCCCUGAUUUUGACGUCGUCUACCAACAUCCGACGAAGGGAACCCGUCCCGGUUUCCAUCUUGAUGUUGUUGAGCUCNNNNNNNNNNGCACUACAAAACUGAGAAAGACCCAUAACUUUUUACAGGAUCGUUUCUACAUACUACAAAUAGAGGGAAGUUGGCUUGUGCCUUACUAG
rnacentral:rRNA from 1 species